AGAGUUUGAUCCUGGCUCAGAAUCAACGCUGGCGGCGUGCCUCAGACAUGCAAGUCGAACGCGAAAGUUCCCUUCGGGGGGCGAGUAGAGUGGCGCACGGGUGAGUAACACGUAGGUAAUCUACCUUCGGAUGGGGAAUAACAACCGGAAACGGUUGCUAAUACCGCAUAAUGCAGCGGCACCUAAUGGUGACAGUUGUUAAAGCGGGGGAUCGAAAGACCUCGCGUCUGAAGAGGAGCCUGCGGCGGAUUAGCUAGUUGGUAAGGUAACGGCUUACCAAGGCAACGAUCCGUAGCCGGCCUGAGAGGGCGGUCGGCCCACUGACACUGACAUACGGGUCAGACUCCUACGGGAGGCAGCAGUCGGGAAUUUUGGGCAAUGGGCGAAAGCCUGACCCAGCAACGCCGCGUGAAGGAUGAAAUCCCUCGGGAUGUAAACUUCGCAAGAACGGGAAGAAUAAGUAGGGGACAAUACCCCCUAUGAUGACGGUACCGUUUGUAAGCUCCGGCUAACUCCGUGCCAGCAGCCGCGGUAAUACGGGGGGAGCAAGCGUUGUUCGGAUUUACUGGGCGUAAAGGGCGCGUAGGCGGCCAGCACAAGUCAGUUGUGAAAUCUCCGAGCUUAACUCGGAAAGGUCAACUGAUACUGUGCGGCUAGAGUGCGGAAGGGGCAACUGGAAUUCUUGGUGUAGCGGUGAAAUGCGUAGAUAUCAAGAGGAACACCUGCGGCGAAGGCGGGUUGCUGGGCCGACACUGACGCUGAGGCGCGAAAGCCAGGGGAGCGAACGGGAUUAGAUACCCCGGUAGUCCUGGCCUUAAACGAUGAAUGCUUGGUGUCUGGGGUUAUAUAGUCCCCGGGUGCCGUCGCUAACGCUUUAAGCAUUCCGCCUGGGGUGUACGGUCGCAAGACUGAAACUUAAAGGAAUUGACGG
rnacentral:rRNA from 1 species